rnacentral:rRNA from 1 species
AUUGAACGCUGGCGGCAGGCCUAACACAUGCAAGUCGAACGGUAACAGGAAGCAGCUUGCUGCUUUGCUGACGAGUGGCGGACGGGUGAGUAAUGUCUGUGAAACUGCCCGAUGGAGGGGGAUAACUACUGGAAACGGUAGCUAAUACCGCAUAACGUCGCAAGACCAAAGAGGGGGACCUUAGGGCCUCUUGCCAUCGGAUGUGCCCAGAUGGGAUUAGCUAGUAGGUGGGGUAACGGCUCACCUAGGCGACGAUCCCUAGCUGGUCUGAGAGGAUGACCAGCCACACUGGAACUGAGACACGGUCCAGACUCCUACGGGAGGCAGCAGUGGGGAAUAUUGCACAAUGGGCGCAAGCCUGAUGCAGCCAUGCCGCGUGUAUGAAGAAGGCCUUCGGGUUGUAAAGUACUUUCAGCGGGGAGGAAGGGAGUAAAGUUAAUACCUGUGCUCAUUGACGUUACCCGCAGAAGAAGCACCGGCUAACUCCGUG